rnacentral:rRNA from 1 species
GAGGAACGCUGGCGGCGUGCCUAAUACAUGCAAGUAGAACGCUGAAGAGAGGAGCUUGCUCUUCUUGGAUGAGUUGCGAACGGGUGAGUAACGCGUAGGUAACCUGCCUUGUAGCGGGGGAUAACUAUUGGAAACGAUAGCUAAUACCGCAUAACAAUGGAUGACACAUGUCAUUUAUUUGAAAGGGGCAAUUGCUCCACUACAAGAUGGACCUGCGUUGUAUUAGCUAGUAGGUGAGGUAAUGGCUCACCUAGGCGACGAUACAUAGCCGACCUGAGAGGGUGAUCGGCCACACUGGGACUGAGACACGGCCCAGACUCCUACGGGAGGCAGCAGUAGGGAAUCUUCGGCAAUGGGGGCAACCCUGACCGAGCAACGCCGCGUGAGUGAAGAAGGUUUUCGGAUCGUAAAGCUCUGUUGUAAGUCAAGAACGGGUGUGAGAGUGGAAAGUUCACACUGUGACGGUAGCUUACCAGAAAGGGACGGCUAACUACGUG